rnacentral:rRNA from 1 species
GAUGAACGCUGGCGGCGUGCCUAAUACAUGCAAGUCGAGCGAACAGACGAGGAGCUUGCUCCUCUGACGUUAGCGGCGGACGGGUGAGUAACACGUGGAUAACCUACCUAUAAGACUGGGAUAACUUCGGGAAACCGGAGCUAAUACCGGAUAAUAUAUUGAACCGCAUGGUUCAAUAGUGAAAGACGGUUUUGCUGUCACUUAUAGAUGGAUCCGCGCCGCAUUAGCUAGUUGGUAAGGUAACGGCUUACCAAGGCAACGAUGCGUAGCCGACCUGAGAGGGUGAUCGGCCACACGGGAACUGAGCCACGGUCCAGACUCCUACGGGAGGAAGCAGUAGGGAAUCUUCCGCAAUGGGCGAAAGCCUGACGGAGCAACGCCGCGGGAGUGAUGAAGGUCUUCGGAUCGUAAAACUCUGUUAUUAGGGAAGAACAAAUGUGUAAGUAACUAUGCACGUCUUGACGGUACCUAAUCAGAAAGCCACGGCUAACUACGU